GCCUGCAGUGGGUACGGGCAGACUAGAGUGCGGUAGGGGAGAUUGGAAUUCCUGGUGUAGCGGUGGAAUGCGCAGAUAUCAGGAGGAACACCGAUGGCGAAGGCAGAUCUCUGGGCCGUAACUGACGCUGAGGAGCGAAAGGGUGGGGAGCAAACAGGCUUAGAUACCCUGGUAGUCCACCCCGUAAACGUUGGGAACUAGUUGUGGGGUCCAUUCCACGGAUUCCGUGACGCAGCUAACGCAUUAAGUUCCCCGCCUGGGGAGUACGGCCGCAAGGCUAAAACUCAAAGGAAUUGACGGGGACCCGCACAAGCGGCGGAGCAUGCGGAUUAAUUCGAUGCAACGCGAAGAACCUUACCAAGGCUUGACAUAUACGAGAACGGGCCAGAAAUGGUCAACUCUUUGGACACUCGUAAACAGGUGGUGCAUGGUUGUCGUCAGCUCGUGCCGUGAGAUGUUGGGUUAAGUCCCGCAACGAGCGCAACCCUCGUUCUAUGUUGCCAGCACGUAAUGGUGGGAACUCAUGGGAUACUGCCGGGGUCAACUCGGAGGAAGGUGGGGAUGACGUCAAAUCAUCAUGCCCCUUAUGUCUUGGGCUUCACGCAUGCUACAAUGGCCGGUACAAAGGGCUGCAAUACCGCGAGGUGGAGCGAAUCCCAAAAAGCCGGUCCCAGUUCGGAUUGAGGUCUGCAACUCGACCUCAUGAAGUCGGA
rnacentral:rRNA from 1 species